rnacentral:rRNA from 1 species
AGUGAACGCUGGCGGCAGGCCUAAUACAUGCAAGUCGAACGGCAGCACAGCAGAGCUUGCUCUGUGGGUGACGAGUGGCGGACGGGUGAGGAAUACGUGGGAAUCUGCCCAGUCGUGGGGAUAACGUAGGGAAACUUACGCUAAUACCGCAUGCGCCCUUCGGGGGAAAGCCGGGGACCUUCGGGCCUGGCGCGAUUGGAUGAGCCCAGUCGGAUUAGCUAGUUGGCGGGGUAAAGGCCCACCAAGGCGACGAUCCGUAGCUGGUCUGAGAGGAUGAUCAGCCACACUGGAACUGAGACACGGUCCAGACUCCUACGGGAGGCAGCAGUAGGGAAUAUUGGACAAUGGGCGCAAGCCUGAUCCAGCCAUGCCGCGUGAGUGAAGAAGG